rnacentral:rRNA from 1 species
GUUAAAAAGCUCGUAGUUGGAUUUCUGGGAGGGUGCCAAUGUCCGUCAACGUGCGUGUGCAGCGGCGCCCUUCCAUCCUUCUGUUAACGCCUCUGGGCAUUUAUUUGCUGGUGGCGGGCUCAGAUAUUUUACCUUGAGAAAAUUAGAGUGUUUCAGGCAGGCUAGGCCGGAAUACAUUAGCAUGGAAUAAUAGAAUAGGACUAUGGUCUCUUUGUUGGUUUGAGGGACUAUGGUAAUGAUUAAUAGGGAUAGUUGGGGGCAUUAGUAUUUAAUUGUCAGAGGUGGAAUUCUCAGAUUUGU